rnacentral:rRNA from 1 species
CCCGCUGAACUUAAGCAUAUCAAUAAGCGGAGGAAAAGAAACCAACAGGGAUUGCCUCAGUAGCGGCGAGUGAAGCGGCAAAAGCUCAGAUUUGAAAUCAGGUGUGUUUUUCGCGCCCGAGUUGUAAUCUGGAGAGGAUGCUCCGGCGAAGCCGGCCGCCCAAGUUCCUUGGAACAGGACGUCUUAGAGGGUGAGAACCCCGUACCCGGCGGCAUGGUCAGCCAUGUGGAGCUCCCUCGACGAGUCGAGUUGUUUGGGAAUGCAGCUCAAACUGGGUGGUAAAUUCCAUCUAAAGCUAAAUAUUGGCGGGAGACCGAUAGCGCACAAGUAGAGUGAUCGAAAGAUGAAAAGCACUUUGAAAAGAGAGUUAAAAAGUACGUGAAAUUGUUGAAAGGGAAGCGCUUGCCAUCAGAACGGGCGCCGGUCGAUCAACGUUCCUUCUGGUUCGUGCACUCGGCCGGCCGCCCUGCCAGCAUCGGUCGCCGCGGCGGGAGAAAGGCGGCGGGAAAGUGGCUCCCCUCGGGGAGUGUUAUAGCCCGCCGCGCCAUACCGCCAGCUGACGACCGAGGACCGCGCUUCGUGCAAGGAUGCUGGCCUAAUGGUUGUAAGCGACCCGUCUUGAAACACGG